rnacentral:lncRNA from 1 species
CGGGGUUUGAGAAGAUUGACUCCAAUUUAGAAAGAAGUUCUACUGGGGGUAAAAUUCUGUCAAACAGCAUCGCAUGCUACAGAGAAAACAUUCAUGAAAAGAAGAGGCAAUCGAUGUGGUAAACUUCACGGUUAUCUUCUUUUAAGAAAUUGCCACAGCCACGCCAGCUUUCAGUAACCACUACCCUGAUCAGUCAGCAGCCAUCAACAUUAAGCAAUGCACAGACACAGGGAGCGUGAACAGUGAUCUCACCUACUUCUGUCAUACCUAUUCAUCCCAAGAACACUGGUAUGAAAACCCCAGUUCUCAAGCAAAGCCUACGCUACUCUGAUGGAAGUAGUCUUCACUCAUGGCCUUGCACUGUCCCGUCAAACCAUCGCUGGACAACUUGUGACAUCUCUCAG